GAUGAACGCUGGCGGCGUGCCUAAUACAUGCAAGUCGAGCGAACGGACGAUAAGCUUGCUUCUCUGAUGUUAGCGGCGGACGGGUGAGUAACACGUGUAUAACCUACCUAUAAGACUGGGAUAACUUCGGGAAACCGGAGCUAAUACCGGAUAAUAUUUUGAACCGCAUGGUUCAAAAGUGAAAGACGGUCUUGCUGUCACUUAUAGAUGGAUCCGCGCUGCAUUAGCUAGUUGGUAAGGUAACGGCUUACCAAGGCAACGAUGCAUAGCCGACCUGAGAGGGUGAUCGGCCACACGGGAACUGAGACACGGUCAAGACUCCUACGGGAGGCAGCAGUAGGGAAUCUUCCGCAAUGGGCGAAAGCCUGACGGAGCAACGCCGCGUGAGUGAUGAAGGUCUUCGGAUCGUAAAACUGUGUUAUUAGGGAAGAACAUAUGUGUAAGUAACUGUGCACAUAUUGACGGUACCUAAUCAGAAAGCCACGGCUAACUACGUG
rnacentral:rRNA from 1 species